rnacentral:rRNA from 1 species
CCUACGGGCGGCAGCAGUGAGGAAUAUUGGACAAUGGACGCAAGUCUGAACCAGCCAUGCCGCGUGCAGGAAGACGGCUCUAUGAGUUGUAAACUGCUUUUGUACGAGGGUAAACGCAGAUACGCGUAUCUGUCUGAAAGUAUCGUACGAAUAAGGAUCGGCUAACUCAGUGCCAGCAGCCGCGGUAAUACGGAGGAUUCAAGCGUUGUCCGGAUUUAUUGGGUUUAAAGGGUGCGUAGGCGGUCGGAUAAGUUAGAGGUGAAAUCCCGAGGCUCAACUUCGGAAUUGACUCUGAUACUGUUCGGCUAGAGAGUAGUUGCGGUAGGCGGAAUGUAUGGUGUAGCGGUGAAAUGCUUAGAGAUCAGACAGAACACCGAUUGCGAAGGCAGCUUACUGAGCUACUUCUGACGUUGAGGCACGAAAGCGUGGGGAGCAAACAGGAUUAGAUACCCCUGUAGUC